UUAAAAAAAUGAUCACUAGUUCUGCAUGAAGUAGCAGAAGCAAAGGAACAGUUUUGCUAAAUUUAAGAGGGUAAAAGAAGUUUGCUAGCAUUAAAUAUAGCAAAGCUGCUUACUCUAUGCCAGCAGUC
rnacentral:snoRNA from 1 species